AACCCAUAUUAAGGACAUUUUCAGUAAGAGCUCCUUGACCCUAUCCCAUGUCUCAAAAACAGACUCCAAUUCUGUUUGCAUAAAGGAGGAUAUUUCAUUCCUGAGCUU